CUACACUUUCAACUAUAAUUGUACGUGAUUAUUUGUAUUGAGCGAAACGGCAUCACUACAGCGAUAGCUUUUCUUUUUCUCGUUGAUCUGUCAAAACACAGAACAUGGAGGAUACGAAGGGAGCUGAGGGAACCUUAUGUGCAGUUUUCCUUCAAUCCUACAAACGGCAGACAUCAUCGGUCAGAAGUGAUAUGAGGACGACGAAGGAAUUUCAGAGCCGCACAUGUUAACUUCUAUACAUACAUUAAAGACAACGACAAAUUUAAUCUCGCUGUUCAUGGCUGUAAAUGAACGAGACAUUGUAUUUAGAUGGUAUAAAGUACAUCAUGAAAUUAUUGAAAAGGGCACCUCAGAUACAAACGGAACAUUGGCGCCUGGCAAGAACUGCACAUUUCCGUCCGGGAAUAUGACGAUAUGCUCCUUCACUUAAAGAAAUUCGCAAUCAUCAAUGCCAUCCCUAUCUUACGGAGAAUAAAAUACAACAAAGUCACAGGUGGUCCAAUUCAAGUUCAGGAUGUAUCCUAUUUGACAUCGAUAAGCUGCAAUUGUUCUUCAAUCCGGGGAAGAAAUCGAAUACUAUAUUUUAGAUGGUGAGCUGGAUUCGUGAUCACUUAUCAACGAUUCCACGUAAACACACUGAAUACAGAAAUCCCAAUUGUCGAUGAUUGCAGUGUAUAAAUUGUUGUAUAAAUUAUAUUGUAUAAAAAUAGAUGUUUGUA